GACAGAUUAAGACAACUUCAACAGACAACAUAAACAUCAACAUAUACUGAUUUACCUGAACAAAGGUCUCAGCUGCAUUUGAUAUGGCUCCAGGUCGUGAGUGGUUUGAACUCUGUUGACGGUGAACGAUCUGAGCUUUUCAUUAAGCUCGCGGUUGGUGAUCUCCAGACGUUUCACCUUCUCCAGGCACCUCCACCACCCAUCUUCAAACCAGCUGAGAGAGAUCCUCCACCAGCCGAUAUAGAGCCUCCAACCAUUCUCAAACCAGACGAGACAGACCUUCCACUCCCGGCUCCCAUCCCAAACCCAACACCAAACCCUACACCAAACCCUACACCAGACCCUACACCAGACCCUACACCUAUCCCUGCACCACUGUGAAGCCCGCUGGCCAUCACAGACGCCUGAUUAAUUCCACCUCCAAACCCGAGUCCUGCACUUCCAGAGCUCGAAAAUCUCCUGGACACCUGAGAGCAGCUUUUGAAGGACCCCCCAGUAGAGCUUAUGAUCUGAGACAUGACUUUACCCGGAGCAAAGCGAGCUGGAAUGAUUUCAGUGUAGCGUUUGGGCGUCUGCCAGUCUAUAGGUGAUGUGGAGGAAGGUUGCAAACUUUAAAGCAUUUUAUAGGUGGUCUGUUUGUGCACCACUCCCUCAGUGAUGGGCCCUUGGGUCUUUUGCAGGCCCCUGGCGACUACAGAGCGGCUUCAUGGCUUUAAAUGAAACCAUAGCAUGCAAAUUGUUCAACAGUAGCAUGUUAAAAACAUGAGAAACUUAUUUUUCCUUCAAGAAAGAACGGAAGAAUAUAUGCAUUUAAAUACAUUUGCAUGUAGUGUUGUGACUUGUGUGGGACUCACAGAUGUGAACAGCAGUCGCUCUAUAAGCAAUGCACUUUAACCGUAACAUAUUUAUGAUUUAAGUUCUAAUAAAUUCUUUGCCGAUUAUACUGGGUUUAGCUGAAAGACCAAACGAAACAAU